rnacentral:rRNA from 1 species
AUUGAACGCUGGCGGAAUGCUUUACACAUGCAAGUCGAACGGUAGAGGGGGCAACCCCUUGAGAGUGGCGAACGGGUGAGUAAUAUAUCGGAACGUGCCCAGUCGUGGGGAUAACGUAGCGAAAGUUACGCUAAUACCGCAUACGAUCUAAGGAUGAAAGCGGGGGAUCGCAAGACCUCGCGCGAUUGGAGCGGCCGAUAUCAGAUUAGGUAGUUGGUGAGGUAAAGGCUCACCAAGCCAACGAUCUGUAGCUGGUCUGAGAGGACGACCAGCCACACUGGAACUGAGACACGGUCCAGACUCCUACGGGAGGCAGCAGUGGGGAAUUUUGGACAAUGGACGCAAGUCUGAUCCAGCCAUUCCGCGUGCAGGAUGAAGGCCCUCGGGUUGUAAACUGCUUUUGUACGGAACGAAAGGUUUCUAUUAAUACUAGGAGCUCAUGACGGUACCGUAAGAAUAAGCACCGGCUAACUACGUGCCAGCAGCCGCGGUAAAGUCGUACGA